GGCGGGGCGGCCGCGGCCCAUUGUGGGCCGGGGCCGGGGCCGGGGCCGGGCGGGCUCCGCGCCGCGCAGCCCAGCGCCGCGCCGGCAGGAUUUCCAAAGGGCGUAUUUAUCUUCCAGAGUGCUGCCUAAGUGUCGCUUAAUCAUUAAGCAUUUGAUUUCCUCCAAGUUAUCUGUCAUGCUGCUUAUGAUAAGAUGCAUCAAACAUGCAGAAGAUCACACUGUGCAGAAUCAUCCGAGAAGGGUCAAGUAGCGGACAAGUGAGGAAGACUAUGGAAGACUGUUACUGAUUUGUCAUUG